rnacentral:lncRNA from 1 species
GCUAACAAAGGGUAGAUACCCAGACAUCAUGAGGGAAAUUGUGGGUAGUCGGCUUCCCAAUUUCACGGAAGCAGAAGCGGAACUCGUUGCGGGUUCAUAUGAUUUUCUUGGUCUCAACUACUACACCACUCAGUACGCCCAGGCAAAACCUAACCCAGUUACAUGGGCAAAUCACACUGCCAUGAUGGACCCAGGCGCAAAGCUCACAUGUACCAUUCUGUUUCCUCUUAUAGUUACAACCUUUCUAUAUAUAGAUAUCUCCUUUUAAUUAUAACAUAUAUGUAAAUUGUGAGUGACCACCAAUUAUUUCAUCCUUGGGUUUACAGAUAACAAUUCACGUGGUGAAAAUCUUGGUCCACUGGUACGUGCAUGAUCCACCCCUGUUACUUCUCAAUAUUUUUUUUUCUUUCUUGUUUAUGGGUAAUGGGUAUAAUAUGUACGCUUCCUUUUCUCAGUUCGUUAAAGACGAAAAAAACGGGAAUGCCUAUUACUACCCAAAAGGCAUCUAUUACGUUAUGGACUACUUCAAAACCAAAUACAGUAACCCUUUGAUCUAUAUCACUGAGAACGGUGACUACUACUCAUCUCUUUUUUGCAUAUUAAUUAAGUAAAUGUGUGUUUCAAAUAAUGUAUAGUUGUUGAUGUACCAUGAUGGUCUAAUUAGGAUUUAGUACUCCCGGUGAAGAAAACCGUGACAAAGCUAUUGCUGAUUCCAAGCGGAUCGAUUAUCUCUGCAGUCAUCUAUGUUUUCUCCGCAAGGUCAUCAGGUGAGGGGAAGCUACUUUAUUUUUUUCUCUUUUGAAUUUGAUGUAUGGUCAUCAUCAUGCAUAGGCUUUGAAUUAUGAUUUUUCCUGUUUCCAGGGAGAAGGGUGUCAACAUAAAAGGAUACUUUGCAUGGGCUCUUGGAGAUAAUUAUGAAUUCUGCAAAGGUUUUACCGUUAGAUUCGGACUUAGUUACGUUAACUGGACAGACCUCAAUGAUAGAAAUCUCAAAGACUCUGGCAAAUGGUACCAAAGCUUUAUUAACGGUACCAAUAAGAACCCUGCCAAACAAUAUUUCCGCCGCCCAAACCUCUCCUUCCAGAACCAGAAGAAGAAGCUCGCAGAUGCAUGAAACACUUUAUCCCACCAUCAUGAUCAUCUUCAUAUCUCGACUACUUGCUUCAUAGAUAAGGAGCUUGUUGUACUAAAUAAAUAUUCUAAUAAAAGAUGAUCAUUUACUAAUGAAUAUUUUCGUUUGAGUUCAAUCCCUUCUUACCGCUUCAGUUACGUUUUACUUUGGAUGAUUAGGUUAGGUUUUACAAAUUAUAAAACUUGGCAUGUCAGCUAUUCAUGUGAGAUUUGUAGGUUUAGAUAAGAGAGAGUCUAUGUGUAAAUGCGAGAACUAGCAAGAAUAGUAACACAAAGUACACAAGAGAAUAUCUCUACAAAAAAUAUGUGUAUUUACUAGUAUUUUUAAAGUAAAUUUACUGAUAUAAACCUUAGAUUCUGUCAGCACUUGCCUCCAAGAAAACCCUAGAUUCUUCAAUUGCGACCUCCUCUGAGCUGAGCCUGAGUUCUGAUAUCAAUUUGUUCAACUUCACGCUCAGAUUACGACCUAGAUCUUCUCGAUUGCUUGAAUAUAAAAAAAACAUGCAAGAAGACACGGUUUGUUCACCCGGUGUCCAACUCCUUUUUCGAUGUAAGUAAGAGAUAUUCUCACCUGGUCUGGUUAGACCAGCAAUACACUAUCUCAGCUCAAACUCGAGCCCGGAUCAACAACCGAUCACAAUCUUUUUCUCCGAUCUUAUCUCUCUCUCUCUCUUAUCAGCUAGAGAUAUAAAGUGAGUUUUAACGACUUAUACAACGUCGUUUUACAACACUCAUCUCCCCCCCAACGUGCUAAAACACGUGCAACUUGAACAAGCUAUAACCGGCUUAAAUCACUUCUAAUUUAACCCGUCAAUCAAACCAGUUUACAUACACUCGGAUUCCUGUCAUCCUGAGUAGACCCACUCAGCUUCGUAUCUUGCGAACUUAGAAACUCAGUUCUCAGUCACCCUGAGAAAAGUCAAUUCUUCCCUCAUCUUGCCAACUGGUAAAACCUUGGUAAUAUAUUUGCGGGAUUGUACUGCGAAGCAAUCUUCACAACAUUGAUGAUCUUCUCACUUACCAACUCACGAACAAAGUUGUACUUCACGUCCACAUGAUUUGUCCUCUUCUGAAGCACUGUGUUUCUUGAUAGUGCAAUAUCACUUUGAGAAUCACAAAACACCUCCACUUGGGUUGGUCUUAAGCAAAACCCAACUCGUUCAUAAAACCCCUGAGCCAUACUGCUUCCCGAGCUGCUUCACUCAAUGCAAUGUACCUGGUUGUUGAUAGUGCCACUACUUUCUGUAAACUCGACCUCCAGCUCACUAAAUUCUCUCCAAAUGUGAAUACCAUUCCUGUGAUUGACCUCUUUUUAUCCAAGUCUGCUCCAUAUUCUUCAUCACAGUACCCCUUUAUAAUUGUUAGAAUCGGGUUUAUUAUGGGCUUCCAACUCAAAACCAAUUGGCAAUUAGUGGAUUGGCGCUAACCCUUUAUAUAUUACUUAAUGUCCCAUUGAUUUUCCAAUGUGGGAUACAUAUCCCUUAAUACCCCUCCUCGAGAUGAUGGCUCUUAUCGGCCAGAAAUCUCGGAACUUUAAGACAGUUAUACUCGGUCGAGCGAGUCAAUUACGACCUAUAUACCCGGUCGGGUAGGGUUAAUAUUAAUUAGGGGUUUUAACUUAUUAGGAUCUGGGCUCUGAUACCAUGUUAGAAUCGGGUUUAUUAUGAGCUUCCAACUCAAAACCAAUUGGCAAUUAGUGGAUUGGCCCUAACCCUUUAUAUAUUACUUAAUGUCCCAUUGAUUUUCCAAUGUGGGAUACAUAUCCCUUAAUAAUAAUAAAAUGUCAUUGCUUCUUGUGUUAAAGCAUCACCUUGAUAUUAUUUCCUUUCUCUUUCUCUUCUUAUUCUUUCAGAUCUCUGAUUUUCUUGAUAUCGACGAAAACAUAAAUCACAGGUUACUCCACUUAAGUUACCUCCACUUAUACAACCAGCAUCACCAUUUACCACUGCAUUAGUUUCUGCUGCUGUCGUCAUCCGUCAUUCAAUUGAUAUCAUUUCAUAUUAUCUUCCAUGUAGAUCGUACUGUCCAAUCUGGUUUGGAGGAAACGCUAGACGAGGUUCUGUCAUUGCCGACAUUAACUGACACGCCACCAUCAGUGUUCUUCCAUUUCCUAACUUCCAUCGAAAUUAACAAAAAUAGCCCGGAAUUGAUGUCGCUUUCAUAUUGUCUUCCCCGUCUUCUUUAUGUUUAACAUUUUUAAGUUUUCAAAUCUGCUCUAUUAUACAUACAUACUUAUAUAGUAUAGUUUAAUAUUAUAUAUGAUUUUCAGAUUUUAAUUACAUUAUAUUUUAAAUUUGGGUUUAUUAAUUAGAGUUUACUGAUUAGUGUUUAGUGUUUAGUAUUUGAAAGGUGAGGAUGAAAUUAGAAAUAGGUUAAAAUAAGGUUUAGUAUUUUACAUUUUUGUUUAUUGUGUUCUAUUCUAUUAUAUACAUAUAGAAUAGAAAUGCAAAACAAUAUACAUUAUAUUUUUUUAAUAAUCUGAAAUAAUCAAAUAGAUAAUAUUAUUCAAAAUAUAUAUUUUUAAUUUCUAAGAUUUUCAUAGAAUACAAUUUUAGAAUUUAUUUAUUUAUACUAUAGAAAGGAUAUUUUUAUAGGAUAAUUUAUAUUUCCAUAUUUUGCUUUAAAUUAUAUACUUUAUUAUCUAUCAUUUUAAUAUUUUCUACAUUUUAUAAGUAAAUAUAUUGUCCUGUUCAAAUAAUAUAACAAUUGUUUUAUUAAAUUGUAUACAUAAUAGCAUCUAUCAUAUUAUUUUAGUAAAUUGUAUCGAUAUAGAAUAUUAGUUGGAUGUUAUGAUUUUAGGUUUUCUGAUUUUUGUUAUUAUAUUAAUAUUUUAAAAUAUAAUAUUACUUUUGCUUUUUAAAUUUUUUUUUUUUGUGUUUCAUUUCAAACAAUAUACUUUAACAUCUAUUAUUUUAUCUUUUAUAAAAUUUGGAGUAUUAUCAUUUUGACUUCGAAAAUUACAAACUUGUAUAUUUGGUCAAGAAAAGUUUCAAAAAUUAUACAAUUAUUUCCUAAACUGAAAUAUUUAAUAUUUUUCUAAACAUAUUUUGUUAAAAUUAAAAUAAAUAUGAGAUUUAGAGUCAAAAUAUCUUUGCAUUUAGCAUCUUUAAUGAAUUAUUAAGAUUUUAAAAUUUUCUAAUAGUAUAUUUUGUAUAUAUUACAUGAACUAAAGGUUAGAAUAUAAUAUUAGAAUUUGUAAAUAAUCAUUUUUAAAUAAUAUAGUUUUGGAGUUUCAAAAUAAAUAAGAAAAUAAUAUAUAGUUGUAGAUACAAAAGUUUAACUUAUUUUAAUUAUUUUAUUUUCAAUAAAAAGUUUUUAAAAUUGAACUCAUUUUAAUGGUGAAGGAUAAUUUAUUUAAAUGAAAGUAUUUUUAAAGUAACAUAGGUUGAUGUACCAAUUUAAUAUAAUUUUCAUAUUUGAUUCAUAUAAUACUUAUUUAAAUAUAAUAUAGAGUAUAAAUAUAUAAUUUUUUAAAAAAAGACAGCAUAUAAUUUUUUUUGUUUAUAAAAACAUUUUAAUUAACAUUAAUUUAUAUAGUUGUAGAAUCACAAGCGUCAAAAUUCUUUGUAUUCCGUACAACUAUUAUUUAUAUACCGUAAAAACACUUUAGCAACCUAGUCAUUUGUAAUGAGACUGCUAAUUCAAAUCAACACGCGUCAAGAUUCUUUGUAUAGACGGUUUGUUUAGAGCCUUUUUAGUCGGACUUGGAGUUUAAAAAAAUAUUAUCAGAUGUCUAAUAUUUGAGUACUUAAAACAUUUCUAAUGUAAAAUUUUAUUUAAAAAAAAAAAAUUAGAACAAUUUUAUAAUGGAUUGGAUUUACUUCAACUCUAGUUCAUGCUGAAGUGAAAAUAGAGUAAUGAACAAAAGAUAAAAUCAUUGUUUUAUUUAUAGAAUAAAUUCAUUUUUACUCUAUUAUAUAAAAAUAGAAUAUAACUGAAAUAUAACUGAAAGAAAAAUAUUCUAUAUUUCAGUUUAGGAAAAUAUACGGAAUGAGUUGCAGAUGGUCUAAAGCCUUGGUUAACAAAUAUAUUGAUUCAAGGCCACUUUCAUCACGAGCCUCACCGCUCACAGGCAACGCAUAUCUUUAUCUAUUUUGGCCGCUUGAUGCAAGUCACAUGAAACCUGAGACUCAGCCUCUCCAAACAUACCAAUAGAAAUCAAAAAGCAACAACAAUUUGCUUUUUAAUUGUUUAAUAAUAAUUAUUGGAGGUGCUUUAUCAUCGGCAAAACUGUGAUCUUUCGUAGCCUUUAAAUUCAUAGUGGGGAAUCUAAAAUCGACGGUACGGACGCAAUUUGCUUCGUAUGCCCCCAGUAAUUUUAUCCGUAAUCAGUUCGAUGCUCCUAUGCCCAGUCAGCUCUUCUUUAUUUUUUACUUCUCGGUAAAUAUUUAUGUCUAUUUUCUACAAAUUUAAAUUUGAACUUUAAUGUUGGGUAUAUAUCGUCUAACCUCUAUGAAUGUCAAAAAAGUUAUUUACUUUUAUUAAAAAAACAAGGAAUAUUGUUUAUAUGUAAGGAUUGGGAAUGUCACUAAACUGGUGGUACCUUGCCUUUGGAUUCUCACUAAGCAUAUGUGCAGAUGGCAUAUUCAAGUCUAUCUCCUUUUAGUCUGCACCUUCUCUUGCGUGUUUUUGUUGAUGUAAGGAAAAGUUUAAAAAAGCAUAGGUCUAUCCCAAAUGUAAGGCAAGAGUUGUACAAAAAGCAUAGCGAACCAUCAGGAGAAGGCUAAUCACAUAUUAAGAAUCUAAUAUAUUACAUAAAUUAAGAAAAUCUAUUUCGGAAAAUUGAAGCAAAUAAAACAAUCAAAACAAACUCAAAAGUCAAAAUCAAAAGCUAACAUAGAAUAAGCAAGUUUGAAAAAAAAACAAAGAAAAUGGUGUGACGGUCAAAACAGCUUAUUUUUUAGGGUCACACUGUUAGAAAUCUGUUGAAAAGAACCAUUUUAGAUUAUUAUUUUAGAUUAUUGUAAAUCAUAUUUUGUCACCACUUUCCGACGGAUCCCUAUCUAGAAAAAAAUAUAAUAUCUACUCCAUGAAGAAAAAAAAAAAUUUUAUUCAUAUGUUUGUUACAUAAAUUGUUUCUUAAAUUUACACUAUUCUUAUGGUUUUAAUGGUUUUAUUAUUUUAAUACCUGGUAGCCUCUAUUCUCUACUUCAAAAAUAAAUUAUUCUAAAAAAAAAGAGUUUUUGUCCAAUGGUUACAUGCAUUUUAUAUUCUAAAAAGAGAAUAUAAAAAUAUAUUAUUUUUAUUAUAUUAAUUUAUGAUACAAUUUUUAACUUUCGAAAUAUUAAAGUUUUAUCCAUUUAUUUUAUUUUAUAACAAUGUACUACCGCAAUAAAAUAUUAUUUUAAAACUAAAAUUUUAUUAUAAUACAUCAUUAAAAACAAAUGAUGUACUAAAGAUUAUAUUUAAAUGUGUAAAUCAUAUUAUAUAAGUUUAUUCUGGUGUAAAAUGAGAACAUAUUAAAAUGAAGGAUCAUUUUAUAAAGAAAAAGUUUCAUUCUAUUAAUAGAAUAAAAAACAAUGUUACUCUAUAAUUGGUGUACUACUAUUGAUCUCUCUACAUUUGAUGCAAGAUAUUAGUGUAAAGUUGAAAAGUGGUAUUAGAAAAAUGGUAUUAGUGGCAAUUCCCCUUGUUUUUACUCUAUAUUUGGUGUAAAAAGAAAAAAAAUAGAUUUACCACAGGAGAUAAUCUAAGAUUAUUAUAUAAUUAAACAAAAUUAUAUCAUUAAUCUAAUAUUCUAAGCUAAUCGGGUCAUGUGAGAAUAACUGGAAAGUGAUAAUCCAGUUUAAUUUACGAUGGCUAAAGUACUAUAAGAUUAAACCGAAAAUAGUAAAUUAAGGGUGCAACCAAAAUCGUAUGUUUAUAGCCAUCAGCCAGUCUUUUUUUUUUUCCUUUGUGGAUCAUUUUGGUAUAUAAUGGUUCAAGAAAAAUGUAUAUACUAAAUCUGCAUCGUAAAAUAAAUAAAUGUACUGGAGUUUAAUGGGUCGCUAAGAGAUUAACAUGUUUCAAUAUCAACAUAUGGUUAUUAAAAAUAUAUGACCAUUCAAUAAGAUUAGAUCUAAUAACAUUAUUUUUAAUGACAAUUUCAAAAUGUGUAUUUGAUAACAAAGAUAUUGUUCAGCGGCACAAUAGUUGUCUGGUAUCUUGAUCAACUCAACAAAGUCUAUAUGUUCUAUGAUUUUGUUGUUUAUACAAAAGAAAUAAUCAAAGAAGUCAAGUAGUAAGUACAAAUGACUCUAGAGAGGGCACACAAUAAAAUUAUUUAUUUAUUUCACAUCAAUCUCAAUAAAAACUACUAAAACUAGCUUUUACUUAAAACAAAUCUCUAAUCCAAUUGGACCCCUCACAAGUCACAGCAUGAUCUCCGUGUUCCAACUAAACAAUACCAGUCCCAUUACAGGGAAACAUAUCCAUAACGACAAAAAUUAACAAAUUAAAAUGUUAUCCUUAAUUAGAAACCGUUUUACGACGAACUAACUCAAAAAAAAUAAUUUGUCGAUAAUUUGUAGUUAAUAAACAACAAAAUAAUUUUCGUAAUGAAGAAUUAACAAAGAAAAUAUUUCAUUAAUAUAAGUCGUUUUAGAAUUGUGCACAUAGAUUAAGAAAUCAUUAAUUUUUUAUAUUUUCUAAACAAAAACAUCAUUAAUUAUUUACUAACCACAAAUUAACCAAUAAUAAAAUAGAAAUUAUAUUAUCAUUGGUUAUAUAACAUUAAGUGUUAAUAAAUUUUACAUAGAAAACCGAAAACGUCAUAUAAUUUCGAACAUAAAAAUUUCUCUAAAACGACUUAUAUUAAAAAAACGGAUAGAGUAGGUGAAUACAUGACUAAUGUGCAAUUGGGAAAUGGAAAUAUAUUGGCAAUUGGGCAAUUUUUGUUUUUAAUUCGAUGGUAAAAUCGUAACUGACAAGCUCCAAAAAUUCUUAUAAAUAUGAGAAUAUGGAUAUUUAUAGAACCACAAACGAAAACCACACCAAAAAGUCUCCUAAAUAAAAUUGUUCUUUUCUAAAACUGAAAUAUGUUUUCAAGUGGUAGUAUAUAUGAUUUGCGAGAAUGACUGUAUAUGCACAUAGAUUCCGAAGGAACAGUCACAAAUAAAUUUGUCAAUGGGCUAGAGAUUUUCAUGUUCCAAACUGGAAAUAUACCGAUAAUUUUGAAAACCGUUAAGAUAAUAUGUCCUUGUCGGAAGUGCAAGAAUACAAAAUUUUAGUCGUAAUGAUAAAAUUUGGAACCAUAUAGUAAAUAAAAGGUUUACACUGAAUUACUGUAGUUAGUUUAAUCAUGGAGAAGGUUAGGGUGGAAAUGAAGCAAGUAGUAAUAAUAGUAAUUUAAUGAUGUUGAUAAUAAAGAAUCGAUCAGUAAUUUGCAUUACCAUGGUAGUUAUGAGAUGGAUCACAAAGAUAUAGAGCAUCAUAGAGUUCCUGACAUGGUCACAAAUGUCCUUCAUGACACAACGUCAACAUUUAGUGAUAAAGUAUUGUUCAAGAAACUAACUUAGAUGAAUUUGUUUUUUUACGAAAUGUUAAAUGAUGCCAACCAACCAAUUUUUUCUAGUUGUAGAGGAUGUCAAUUUUGACAUAACGUUUGUCGGUUGGUCCGAGUGGUCACAAACCUAUGCCUCAAAUAUCCGGUGAAACACUUUCUGCAUAUGUCCGUUUACUGAUUGUAAGUAUUCGUUAUUUUGAAAUUUACAUUUACAUAUUUAUACUUGUUUAAAUUUCCGUGAUGUUUAUCAAUUUUAUUUUCAGGCCGAAAAGCAAGGCGAACUUCCUUCUAUUUCCAUAUUUUCUAGGUAACUCAUAAGAACUGGAGUGGAGCCUUCGUUAAUGCUAGAUCAAAAAAACAACAAUGAUGCCAUGACAUGGAUCCAAGAGCAUCAGGCUCAGAUUUCUCAGCAGUCUGAAUAUGGUACUCACAUUCUUUUUCCAUACCGAAAUUAGACAAGUUUUGCAAAGUCGUAUACAAUCACUCAAAUAUCUCUUUUAAACUUGAUUGAUAUUAUUACUAAUAUUUUCAUAUAAUUUUGUAUUUAAAAAUACAGACAAUUGGAUUGGAAUCAAUCAACGAAUUUCAUAGGGUCACCUCUUCCUAUGUUCGUAGAGGUGAUGAUCUGGCUCAACUCUGAACGGAGUUGACAGAUGCACAUAACGAGAUUUCAUCAAUAAGGAUUGAGCAUCAAGCAACGUGCCAACAGUUGUAAACCAUGAAAAUUAUGUUUGCCAUACAUGUGGAUGGACUUGAAAGCUACUCGAGCUCUAGAGAUUAUACGUAAAAAUAUUAAUAUCAUCAUACAACCAACUUUGGAGGAGCAAGCUGCCCUGGAACGAAUAACGGAUAAAGCGGUUCGAAAGAGUUCUUCAACGACGUUGAUUUGAAAUAGUUUCUAUAUUGUUAUUUGUUUUAUAAUUUCUAUUAAAAAAUCCAUUUUAUUUCUGUCUUAUUUUUACAUUUAUUUUUAAUUAUUAUAAUAUAUUAAUUUAAUUAUUAUUGUAUUUUAUUAAAGGUAUACAUUUAUAAGUUAAUUCUUUGUUAACUUCACAAUUAAUUAACAUUGAAUUAAAACAAAUCUUUCGUAAUCUCUUAUAUAUUAAUUGAGAAACACUACAACAUUAUUUUGUAGCCACUUGUCACCAUGAGAAUAAAAUUCAGAAUUCUUAGAAAAAUAGGUUGGUCCAUCUUAACUUAUAUUAUAUUUUUUAUUAAACUAACUAUUAAAUUGAUAAAUAGUGUACAAAAGAAUAUUCUCGCAUUUUCCUUAAAUAAAUCUACGGAAUUGCCUAAUAUGAUUAACGUAUAUAUGACAAUCAAUGAUUAUGAAUAAUAAAUAUUUGAUAAUGAUUUUUGUAUCUUAGCUCUUUUUUGUUUAAUUUCAUAUUAUUAAAAGAUAUUAAACAACUAUAUUAAUUAUAUAAUAAAAAUAUUAAAUUUUUUUCUUAUAUGUUAUAUUUUAAAUUUUUAAAACGACUAUAAAUUACUAAAAACAUUAAAUGUCUCACACUAAAAUUUUGUGAUCAAUGGUUUAACUUUUUGGUAAUAACAAAAUACAAAUGAUCAUAAAUCUUAUAAAUAUGAAGUCUCAUUUACUAGACAUUCAUUUUAUAUAUUAAUAUAAUUUAAUAUUAAACUAUGUAACAUAGAAAAAUACUUAAAUAUGAUAAUUUCUAAAUUUUUAUUGAAAAUUUAUUAAAACCUUAAUAUUUUAAUUUUAAAAUUUGCAUUAAAAAAAUCGCACAUUAGAAAUUUUGUGUUUAUCAUAUGAAUAUGAAUUCUCAAUAAUAAAUAUUUAUAUUAAAAUAUACUAUAUAUCUAUAUCAAUGUCAUUGAAAUUAAAUUAUAUACCAUAUAAAAUAAAUAAAAUGAUUGUUUUGAUUUAUUUACUAAAUAAACAAGAUGUAUUAUUUUUAUUUAUGUCUUUACUCUAAUUUAAUUAUAUACAUAAUAUAUAAAUGAAUACAAAUAAAUAAUAAUAGAUAAAAAUAGUUUUAUAUAUAACAUUCAUCCUGCGCAAUUGCCCGGGUCUUAAGCUAGUUCAUUGUUAACUUAACAACAAAUUAACAUUGACUGUCGCAGUUAAUUUAUUGCUAAUUUAACAACAAUAAUAAACAUCCACGAUUUAAAGUCUUAUAUUGUAAGUCAAAGUUACGAAGAUAGUUUCAGCGCAAAAUUUAUAUCUAAUUUACGAUGAAUAUAUUUACGACAAAAUAACGACGUAUCAUGGACCUUGCAACUUAAGUAUGUACGACGAUCUUUCAAUAACUAUGUGCACUUAACGAUGAAAUUACAUUCCUUGUUAUUUAGUUGUAGACCAGAUGUCUUUUUUAGAUUUGUACAGACUUAGACAGAGUUUAAUAAAAUAUUAAGGGUGUUAAACAGUAUUGGCCAAGUUUUUAGGCUAGACCAGGAACUGCAUUGCCUUUAAAAAUAUGAGAAAACAAAAGAUUUUGUUCUUGCUUUAAGGUAUGUGAAAAAUUGUCUUAUCUUUUUGUUUAAUUAUCCGUUAACAGUUCAAUUUAUAUUCUCAAGAUUAUAUUGGAGCUAUUGACUGCAUUACUCAAUAUAUAUAUAUAUAUAUGUAUUAUAUAUGUUUAAUUAAGAUAGGUUACUUAAUUAUAAGUUUGAGUUUUAUUUAUAUUUCACAUUAAAAAUAUUUCAUGAAAAUUUUAUCUCGCAAACUGUGGGUACAUAAACAAGAUAAAUUUUAGAGCUCUAUUUCGUAGUACACAUAAUCAUAUGAAAUAAUUUACUGGAGAAGGCAUUGAUCGAAGAAAUAAAUAAGAAUUAUUCAACCAUCGUCAUUCUUGUUUGAGAAAUAUCAUCGAAAGGAUAAAUUUGCAUUAAAAAAAUUGCACAUUAGAAAUUUUGUGUAUAUCAUAUGAAUAUGAAUUCUCAAUAAUAAAUAUUUAUAUUAAAAUAUACUAUAUAUCUAUAUCAAUGUCAUUGAAAUUAAAUUAUAUACCAUAUAAAAUAAAUAAAAUGAUUGUUUUGAUUUAUUUACUAAAUAAACAAGAUGUAUUAUUUUUAUUUAUGUCUUUACUCUAAUUUAAUUAUAUACAUAAUAUAUAAAUGAAUACAAAUAAAUAAUAAUAGAUAAAAAUAGUUUUAUAUAUAACAUUCAUCCUGCGCAAUUGCCCGGGUCUUAAGCUAGUUCAUUGUUAACUUAACAACAAAUUAACAUUGACUGUCGCAGUUAAUUUAUUGCUAAUUUAACAACAAUAAUAAACAUCCACGAUUUAAAGUCUUAUAUUGUAAGUCAAAGUUACGAAGAUAGUUUCAGCGCAAAAUUUAUAUCUAAUUUACGAUGAAUAUAUUUACGACAAAAUAACGACGUAUCAUGGACCUUGCAACUUAAGUAUGUACGACGAUCUUUCAAUAACUAUGUGCACUUAACGAUGAAAUUACAUUCCUUGUUAUUUAGUUGUAGACCAGAUGUCUUUUUUAGAUUUGUACAGACUUAGACAACUUUAGGAAAUACGAGAUGGAUUUUGGUUGAAGAAAUUCUUGCCACAUUUUUUCUCAUUGUUGGCCAGUGUACGAGAUAUUAUUCUCCCUCGAGAUGUAUUCAAGAGAUCAAGUUUUGAAAUAAUUCAGAGUUUAAUAAAAUAUUAAGGGUGUUAAACAGUAUUGGCCAAGUUUGUAGGCUAAACCAGGAACUGCAUUGCCUUUAAAAAUAAGAGAAAACAAAAGAUUUUGUUCUUGCUUUAAGGUAUGUGAAAAAUUGUCUUAUCUUUUUGUUUAAUUAUCCGUUAACAGUUCAAUUUAUAUUCUCAAGAUUAUAUUGGAGCUAUUGACUGCAUUACUCAAUAUAUAUAUAUAUAUAUAUGUUAUAUAUGUUUAAUUAAGAUAGGUUACUUAAUUAUAAGUUUGAGUUUUAUUUAUAUUUCACAUUAAAAAUAUUUCAUGAAAAUUUUAUCUCGCAAACUGUGGGUACAUAAACAAGAUAAAUUUUAGAGCUCUAUUUCGUAGUACGCAUAAUCAUAUGAAAUAAUUUACUGGAGAAGGCAUUGAUCGAAGAAAUAAAUAAGAAUUAUUCAACCAUCGUCAUUCUUGUUUGAGAAAUAUCAUCAAAAGGAUUUUGGGUAUUUUCAAAUCAAGAUUUCUUAUAUUCAAAUUCGCUCCUAGUUUUUCAUAAAUGACACAAGCAGAGCAAGUGCUUGUAUCUGCUGCAUUGCAUAACUUUUUCCGUCAGAAGUGUCGGCCAGAUGAGUUUCUUCCAGAAGAAACAUCUGAUGAACAAAAUGUUACUCAAUUAAGUAGUAAUGGUUAUCAAUUUCUUGGCGAACAAGAACAACAAAGAGAACAUGCUACUGAAUAGAGAACAACCAAUGCUUCAAAUAUGUGGAAUGAUGGUACUAGUGGAUCUCAACGGUGAAAUAUGCCUGAGUAAGUUAACAUUUUUAUGUGUUUAAUUUUAUAGUUGACAAUAAUAGUGAAAUCUCACAAUGUAUUUUUAGGUGUGAGAUGAUUUAUGGCAUUGUUGGCAUGAUAUUAAAAACACACAUUCGUCUGUCACAAUAAAGUCAAAAUUGCAGUCAAGUAUUUGUAAUUUUUUUUCAUGUUUUUUUCGAAAUUGAUUACACUUUUUUGCGUGGUUUCGAUAAAUUGUUGUGAGAAAAUGUUUUUUAAUGAUCUUAGGAAAUCAAUUUUUAUUUUCUUUAAAAUUCUACCAAAUUAAUCUCCUAUCAAAAGCUCUAUCAAAUUCCUUAAAAUCCAAACAAAUUUAGCUAAAUUCCAUCAAAUCUGAAAUCCUUAAAAAAAUUCAAAUCCCUAAUCAAAUAAGCCCUUUAAUAUAUUUGAACCUAUACUUAAGUACCAAAUGGUUAUAUAUUUAAAAAGAUCCAACAGUUAAUUCAACAAAAUAAACUUUACAUAAAUUUUUAUCCCUUUCGUAAUUUGUUAAAAUAUGAUAAUCUACUUACAAGGUUGUCAUUUUAUUCAGAUAAUAGUCCAUAGUUAUUUACAAAAUAAACUUUACAAAAAAAUAACGACCAAUCACAAUGCUGAUACUGAUUCAGCUAAAGUAACUGAGCCCACGGAAUUCACCCCACCAAACCUCUCCCAAAAUAUCAAGAUAUUGAAGAAAAGAAAAUGUAUACGUGACACUACUUUACAAAGGCUAUAUAAACCCUAGACUAGCACAAGGUUCCAUCCAACACAAACACAUACAUCUACUUAUUAACCAUGAAGCUUCAUGGACUAGCCUUGAUAGGUUUUCUAAUUGCCGUGGUGAGUUGCAAAGCUAUUGAGGAAUGCCAAGAGAACGAGCCAUUCACAUGUAGAAACACUGAUCAGUUAAGCAGUAAAAAUUUCCCAAAAGACUUCAUAUUCGGUGUUGCUUCUGCUGCUUACCAGGCAUGUUACAAACCAACAAUUUUUGACGUAGAAAACCAUUUAAAAUAUUAAAUCCAACGUUGCAUGGUUGUUUCUUAUUAUUGUAGGUGGAAGGGGGCAGAGGACGUGGUCUUAACGUUUGGGAUGGCUUCACUCACCGAUACCCAGGUAUAUCAUCUACAUGGUACAUAUAUAUACAUAUGUACAACUCUUAUCAUUCUUAGUAUAAAAUGUAUCUGUUUACUAUCAGAGAAGGGAGGAUCCGAUCAUGGGAAUGGAGACACUACUUGUGAGUCAUAUACGAGAUGGCAGGUUAGUUCCUCACUGAGUCAUAUACCAGAUGGCAGGUUAAUUUCUCAUUUCCUCACUAUAUAUAAUGAUAUCCGAGUGCGUGUGUAAACUGCAGAAAGAUAUAGACAUCAUAGACGAACUCAAUGCUACUGGCUACAGAUUCUCAUUUGCCUGGUCAAGAAUCAUUCCAAGUAUGAACACAUAAACAAUCUAUUUAUACAAAAGAAUUCUCGUAAUUUGAUUGUGAUUGUUGGGAAGAUUAAAUAUAUGAUAUGUAUACAUGAGCAGAAGGAAAGGUGAGUAGGGGAGUGAACAAAGGAGGUAUCGAAUACUACCACAAACUUCUAGAUGGCCUCAUCGCUAAGAAUAUAACCCCUUUUGUUACCCUCUAUCACUGGGACCUUCCUCAAACACUGCAAGAUGAGUAUGAAGGUUUCUUGAACCGCACCGUCAUGUACGUCAUUUGGGCCGCGUUCUUAGCAAGGAAUAUAAGAAGAAAAACAUAUAUACAUAAGUGAUCUCAUGUUAAUGAUUUGAUUCUAUGCUAUGCACAGAGAUGACUUUAGAGACUAUGCGGAUCUAUGUUUCAAGGAAUUUGGUGGAAAGGUGAAGAACUGGAUCACGAUCAACCAGCUGUACACAGUGCCUACGAGAGGCUAUGCAAUCGGAACAGAUGCACCCGGUCGAUGUUCUCCGGCGGUUGAUGAGAGAUGUUACGGCGGGAAUUCUUCAACAGAACCAUAUAUAGUUGCACAUAACCAGCUUCUUGCUCAUGCUGCGGCGGUCGAUGUUUACAGGAGAAAAUAUAAGGUGAGAGUACGUGGGUUUGUGAAUAGGUGUAGUCUUUACGUAUAUGACUAUAUCUAAUCAUAUAAUUAUGGUAUGCCGUGACCAACAGUUCCAAAAAGGGAAGAUCGGACCAGUGAUGAUAACCAGAUGGUUUCUUCCAUUUGAUGAGACUGAUGCCAGCAGAGAUGCAGCUGAGAGGAUGAAAGAAUUCUUCUUGGGAUGGUAACGUAUAUGUAUGUAUAUAUCAACAAAAAUGAAAUGAUUUUCUUAUACGUAUGUACGUCGACCAGGUUCAUGGAGCCGCUAACAAAGGGUAGAUACCCAGACAUCAUGAGGGAAAUUGUGGGUAGUCGGCUUCCCAAUUUCACGGAAGCAGAAGCGGAACUCGUUGCGGGUUCAUAUGAUUUUCUUGGUCUCAACUACUACACCACUCAGUACGCCCAGGCAAAACCUAACCCAGUUACAUGGGCAAAUCACACUGCCAUGAUGGACCCAGGCGCAAAGCUCACAUGUACCAUUCUGUUUCCUCUUAUAGUUACAACCUUUCUAUAUAUAGAUAUCUCCUUUUAAUUAUAACAUAUAUGUAAAUUGUGAGUGACCA